rnacentral:rRNA from 1 species
CAGCAGCCACGGUAAUACGUAGGGUGCGAGCGUUAAUCGGAAUUACUGGGCGUAAAGCGUGCGCAGGCGGCUUUGCAAGACAGAUGUGAAAUCCCCGGGCUCAACCUGGGAACUGCAUUUGUGACUGCAAGGCUAGAGUGCGGCAGAGGGAGAUGGAAUUCCGCGUGUAGCAGUGAAAUGCGUAGAUAUGCGGAGGAACACCGAUGGCGAAGGCAAUCUCCUGGGCCUGCACUGACGCUCAUGCACGAAAGCGUGGGGAGCAAACAGGAUUAGAUACCCGCGUAGUCCCUGUCUCUUAUAC